ACGGUCACGUUACAAAAUUAGCUCUUUAAUUAUUAUUAUAAUUAUUUUUCCUCGGUCUCCAUUUAAAUUCUCUAAUUUCUCGUAUAGGACUACUGGGGUGACGUCAUACCUCGGUGAUGGAACGUACUCCACCUAUCGAGAAUGAUUUCGUUUUCUGAGAGAGUUUGACGUUUACCUUGGCGGAGAAGCGCCUCUCGUUCUUUACUUGACUGUUGGCUGUUGUGUCGAAUAGAGGUACCAUAUAGAAUGGCGGAUGAUUUCAUCCAACUUAUUUUAUAACAUCAAGCAAUUUAAAGUAAAGUAAAAAGUUACCACCAAGGAUUGUCUGGAGUGAGGAGACAUGUGGGUGACAACUCCUGUUGGAGUCUAAAUAGGAAUCAUUCGCCAUUUGGGAGAAACCCUACCAUGAAGUCAUAGACCUUAUUUGACCACCUAGAGAAACCACUACAGCCACAGUCAAGUCAUCAUGGGAGUAUGUCUAAUUGGGAGCAAGCUAUGGGAGCGUUCCAGCUCAGUUUUCGUCUUGGCACCUGGGCCUACAGGAGUCAUGGGUCGCACCAUCCUGGUGCAUCAUUUUCUAGGAUGCAACCGCAACCUUUUUAGGAAUCAUUGGGAUUCGUUUGGAAACAAUUAGUGUGUUUUAGUAACUAUUGGUUUUUUUUUACAUUUCAGACUCUCGGUUUAAUGCGCUAUGUUAAUUAAUUUUUUUUCCAGAUUUAGUUUACCUCUGGUUUUUUUUUAAUAUGACAUAUUUGUAUAUUAGACUAUUUGGUUCCCAAACUUUGUAUCUACGGUAACUUCUUGUGCACAGGAAUAAGCCUAGAGAAAAUUAGGUUUUUAAUACUUUAUUAUUGCUUUGAUAUUGGUUUAUGUAAUUCGGGUAAAUUUAUUUUUUAAUAUUACUAGCUUGUUUCCCAAAUAUUUUACUGUUAUUCGCUUUAUUCCAUUUGUUCGGUUAAUUUAGGUCAUCGUCGGUAUUUAUCUCAACUUCAUUUCUACUUUAGUCAAUUGUAUAUUUAACUUUAAUUAUUCAUUAUUGUAUUUUCCCUUAUUGAGGCUUGGGCCUAUUUAUUUGUAGUAUUUUCAUCUUUGUCAGUUUCAUUUAGUUGUACGUAGCAGGCGUACUAUAACCAUUUGGUAGAAGACUUAUGUAAUUUUGUACCCUAUAUGUUAGUGAGAGGUACUUAUACCUGUAAUUUUGUAACAGAUAACAUUAUUGUUGUUAUCUUAGAGAUAACUUUUUGUAUAACUUAUGUCAUUUUAGAGUCACAUGAUAUACACUUUGUGUAACUCAGAGAUUGUCAAAAAUCUAGUAGUUAUUUUUAAUAAAUAUGUAUUUAUUUUGUA